CCUGAAUUUUCUGGCCUGCAAUGGUGAUAGUCUUGGAAUAAAGGAUUCUGAAUCAAAAAAUUCGAUGCCCUUUUAAAGUGGGUAGAGAUCAAACUCAAGUAUUUGAACAUGGGUUUUGGUUCAAGACGCAGAAACAAGAUAACAGAGAAUAAGAGGGUUUAUAUUCUAGUGUGUGCCAAGUUGUUCAUGUUCUGAUGAUAUUAGGUAUGGAGAAUUCUUAAUUAAUCAGGAUUUAAAAAAUUAUAUUUUUAUAAUGGGAUUUAAAUGGAAUUCACUAAUAUUUUAAUAAUAUAUUAAUUUGUAUAUACUAAUUUUAUAGGAAAAGUUGAAAAAAAAU
rnacentral:misc_RNA from 1 species